rnacentral:tRNA from 1 species
GGCGUGGUACGCAAACCGGUAAAGCGGCGAAGCUCAAACCUUCGUGAUUGUUUGUGGGUUCGACUCCCUCCCGCGCUA